UACAGAGGGUGCAAGCGUUGUUCGGAAUCACUGGGCGUAAAGCGCGUGUAGGCGGCCCGUUGUGUCGAAUGUGAAAGCCCUCGGCUUAACCGAGGAAGUGCAUUCGAAACUGACGGGCUUGAGUACCGGAGAGGGGGGUGGAAUUCCCGGUGUAGAGGUGAAAUUCGUAGAUAUCGGGAGGAACACCAGUGGCGAAAGCGACCCCCUGGACGGAUACUGACGCUGAGACGCGAAAGCGUGGGGAGCAAACAGG
rnacentral:rRNA from 1 species